GAGCCCAGAGCCUGAAUCAGCAUGUGUGUUAGUGGAAGCGUCUGGAAAGGCGCGCGAUACAGGGUGAGAGCCCCGUACACAAAAGCGCACAUGCUGUGAGCUCGAUGAGUAGGGCGGGACACGUGGUAUCCUGUCUGAAUAUGGGGGGACCAUCCUCCAAGGCUAAAUACUCCUGACUGACCGAUAGUGAACCAGUACCGUGAGGGAAAGGCGAAAAGAACCCCGGCGAGGGGAGUGAAACAGAACCUGAAACCGUGUACGUACAAGCAGUGGGAGCCUCUCUUUAUGGGGGGUGACUGCGUACCUUUUGUAUAAUGGGUCAGCGACUUAUAUUCUGUAGCAAGGUUAACCGCAUAGGGGAGCCGAAGGGAAACCGAGUCUUAAUUGGGCGUUAAGUUGCAGGGUAUAGACCCGAAACCCGGUGAUCUAGCCAUGGGCAGGUUGAAGGUUGGGUAACACUAACUGGAGGACCGAACCGACUAAUGUUGAAAAAUUAGCGGAUGACCUGUGGCUGGGGGUGAAAGGCCAAUCAAACCGGGAGAUAGCUGGUUCUCCCCGAAAGCUAUUUAGGUAGCGCCUCGUGAACUCAUCUCCGGGGGUAGAGCACUGUUUCGGCUAGGGGGCCAUCCCGGCUUACCAACCCGAUGCAAACUGCGAAUACCGGAGAAUGUUAUCACGGGAGACACACGGCGGGUGCUAACGUCCGUCGUGAAGAGGGAAACAACCCAGACCGCCAGCUAAGGUCCCAAAGUCAUGGUUAAGUGGGAAACGAUGUGGGAAGGCCCAGACAGCCAGGAUGUUGGCUUAGAAGCAGCCAUCAUUUAAAGAAAGCGUAAUAGCUCACUGGUCGAGUCGGCCUGCGCGGAAGAUGUAACGGGGCUAAACCAUGCACCGAAGCUGCGGCAGCGACACUUUAGUGUUGUUGGGUAGGGGAGCGUUCUGUAAGCCGUUGAAGGUGUCCUGUGAGGGGUGCUGGAGGUAUCAGAAGUGCGAAUGCUGACAUAAGUAACGAUAAAGCGGGUGAAAAGCCCGCUCGCCGGAAGACCAAGGGUUCCUGUCCAACGUUAAUCGGGGCAGGGUGAGUCGACCCCUAAGGCGAGGCCGAAAGGCGUAGUCGAUGGGAAACGGGUUAAUAUUCCCGUACUUGGUGUUACUGCGAAGGGGGGACGGAGAAGG
rnacentral:rRNA from 1 species